UUGCGGACCAGGAGCCUGAUCAAAUUUUCUAAUUGAUUUUUCAGGAUUAGAAAUACCGAUUCUGAUAGUGGCUUUUCGAUUGCACUUAAAAAUUAUUAAUACGUAAGAAAUCACUAUCGAUAUAAAGCCAAUAGCGAUUAUCAAAUAGCACACCGAGAAAAACAUGCUUGUUUCUUGCGCAAAUGUUCGCUCAAAGAAAUUACUAGUUAGCUCAAUAUUCUCGACUAAACCAGAUAUCUGUUUGUGCCAGGAACCAAUUUGUAGAAAGAUUUAAAAAUUAAGGAUAUUUGGCUAAAUAAACUUCAUUCCAUCGUAAAUAAUAACAAAAUAUAACAAAUCAUACAUGAAAAAGAAUAAAGUCUGAAAGUAUCCAACUGACGGCUCCCUUCCCUGGCAAAAGACAAACAAAAGCGUAGGCCAGCGAUGCCCAGGCCCAUUUCCCACGGAGCCCAUUUUUUUUUUGUAAUUGCCCUCAGCAUAGGAAACCAAUUCUUGUAUGCAAGUUAACAAGAGUUAACUGAAUUGUCCAUUGGGUUGGACGAAUUCUGAGUUAACAAGAGUUAACUGGAUUGUCCAUUGGGUUGGACGAAUUCUGCGAUAU